rnacentral:rRNA from 1 species
GACGUAUUGCGCGAGCGUUGUCCGGAUUUAUUGGGCGUAAAGAGCUCGUAGGCGGUUUGUUGCGUCGGCUGUGAAAUCCCGAGGCUCAACCUCGGGUCUGCAGUCGAUACGAGCAGACUAGAGUGUUGCAGGGGAGACUGGAAUUCCUGGUGUAGCGGUGAAAUGCGCAGAUAUCAGGAGGAACACCGGUGGCGAAGGCGGGUCUAUGGGCAACAACUGACGCUGAGGAGCGAAAGCGUGGGGAGCGAACAGG